rnacentral:rRNA from 1 species
AUUGAACGCUGGCGGCAGGCUUAACACAUGCAAGUCGAACGGUAACAUGAAGAAGCUUGCUUCUUUGAUGACGAGUGGCGGACGGGUGAGUAAUGCUUGGGAAUCUAGCUUAUGGAGGGGGAUAACUACGGGAAACUGUAGCUAAUACCGCGUAGAAUCGAGAGAUGAAAGUGUGGGACCUUCGGGCCACAUGCCAUAGGAUGAGCCCAAGUGGGAUUAGGUAGUUGGUGAGGUAAAGGCUCACCAAGCCGACGAUCUCUAGCUGGUCUGAGAGGAUGACCAGCCACACUGGGACUGAGACACGGCCCAGACUCCUACGGGAGGCAGCAGUGGGGAAUAUUGCGCAAUGGGGGCAACCCUGACGCAGCCAUGCCGCGUGAAUGAAGAAGGCCUUCGGGUUGUAAAGUUCUUUCGGUAGCGAGGAAGGCAUUUAGUUUAAUAGACUAGGUGAUUGAC